AUGAACGCUAGCGGCAGGCUUAACACAUGCAAGUCGAGGGGUAUAGCAGCAAUGCUAGAGACCGGCGCACGGGUGCGUAACGCGUAUGCAAUCUGCCUUUUACAGGGGAAUAGCCCAGAGAAAUUUGGAUUAAUGCCCCAUAGUAUUAUAGAAUGGCAUCAUUUUAUAAUUAAAGUCACAACGGUAAAGAUGAGCAUGCGUCCCAUUAGUUAGNGGUAAGGUAACGGCUUACCAAGACGAUGAUGGGUAGGGGUCCUGAGAGGGAGAUCCCCCACACU
rnacentral:rRNA from 1 species